rnacentral:lncRNA from 1 species
GCCAAUCCCAGAGAAAGCUGAGGACAUCACAGAAGAGCACUCAGAGGAUGAGGACGACUACCAGAAGGCCUUCUCCCAUGAAGAGGCCGAGAGCUCUGAAGAGGCUGGUACCCAAGCACACAACCCAGGAUCACCACACCUGCCUGAAGAAAGUCCUCUCCUUCUGAGCCCUGUACCUGGACAAAGACCUCAGCUCCAGGGUCCUGAGCUUGCACAACAAACCAUCCCUGUGAAAUCUAUAAUCAAAACAGCAAUUGAACUCCUGCCUAAGAUUUUGCCCCAGCUUCCAAGAUUUGUUAUUGUCCGCAAUAGAAAGCAAGCCCAAUAUCCUGGAGAACAGGACCAGCAGGGAAUUUGAUCAGGAGUUGCAGAAGCUUCUGUUCUGAGCACAGAUCUGGAACUUGCUUAUGGGUCUCAGAUGUGGCGCACUCUGUGAUCAUUCCGUAUGACACGGAAGCCUGCAGAACACUUU